rnacentral:rRNA from 1 species
GAUGAACGCUAGCUACAGGCUUAACACAUGCAAGUCGAGGGGAAACGAUAGAGAAAGCUUGCUUUUUCUAGGCGUCGACCGGCGCACGGGUGAGUAACGCGUAUCCAACCUGCCCACCACUUGGGGAUAACCUUGCGAAAGUAAGACUAAUACCCAAUGACGUCUCUAGAAGACAUCUGAAAGAGAUUAAAGAUUUAUCGGUGAUGGAUGGGGAUGCGUCUGAUUAGCUUGUUGGCGGGGUAACGGCCCACCAAGGCGACGAUCAGUAGGGGGUUCUGAGAGGAAGGCCCCCCCACAUUGGAACUGAGACACGGUCCAAACUCCUACGGGAGGCAGCAGUGAGGAAUAUUGGUCAAUGGACGAGAGUCUGAACCAGCCAAGUAGCGUGCAGGAUGACGGCCCUAUGGGUUGUAAACUGCUUUAUAAGGGAAUAAAGUGAGUCUCGUGAGACUUUUUGCAUGUACCUUAUGAAUAAGGACCGGCUAAUUCCGUG